GCGACCCCAGAUCAGGCGGGACUACCCGCUGAAUUUAAGCUUUCAAUAAGC
rnacentral:rRNA from 1 species